CUGCAAAAGGCUCAAUUUGGGUCCUUUUGGGAGAGCAAUUAAGCCAACAUGGAGAUAGAAGUAUGGAAAAUGUAAAAUGAUAUGUAACCAAUCUAGGUGAAAUGAGGGAGCGCAAGUCGCUAGUUUUUUAUUAUUUAUUUAAAUGGCGGAUCAAAUUUCUAGAAAAUUUUCUAGCAAAUUUGCUAGCUGAUCAACACAUGAUUAUCUCGGGACCCAUAAGGUCGGGAUUUAUUAACCCAAAGAAUGAGAGAUGGCACAACUACUGUGUUGCUGGUGGCGGUGGGCAAUUAAUCUUGCACGGGCAGUUUGUGAAGCAUUCCCCAAGGUUUACCCAACAUAUCCUGUCCGUUUGACAGCAAUAUUGCAGGCUUGGGGGCUGUUGAUGGUCUUUAUAACAAGG
rnacentral:lncRNA from 1 species